AUGGAUCCUGUGGGGCUCGGGCUCAAAGUGGUCGUCGUGCCCUCGCGCCCGGUGGGGCGUCAAUGCUGCCAAGAGCUGCCUGCUCAGCCCGCGCCUGAACCUCAGGACGCAUGGCUGCACCCCUCCACGACCAAAGGCUGCGGCGGGGACGGCCAAUCGCAGCCAAAGCUUGGGGGCAAGAUAAUCUCCUGUACGGCCUGGCCACCGCUGGCAUGUCGGUGCCCUCAACAAACAGAAAGGCAUACUGAUUUAAUUGUUGUGUGCCAUUGCAUCGGUGAGAAGGCAGUCUGCAGUGCCGAGUGCCGGGACCAAGAGAUCAUGAUCGAAGAGGAAGCGAAGAACAAGAUCGUCAUCAGAUGCUCGUCCUGCUCAACCCUGCAUGGGUGGAUGGAACGGACAAUAGCGGAGGACAUGGACAUUGCUCGUCCUGAAGAACGUCGAGUGGAUAUGAUGGAAGAAGGUACCGGAAAUGUUCUUGUUGUUCAACAGUCUUAUUUGGGAAUACAUGUGAAACAUUUUGUGAUCUUUCAUGCUUCUGUCCUCUCCUCAGGAUUUGACGCUGCUGCUUCUUACCUCUGUAGAGAUCCUGGUAUGGUGCCUCGUAACAAUGAUACUGUAAAUGGAACCGAUGCAAAGGUCAAGUACUAUGACACCUGCCUGCAGCAUCCGCCGCCUCGUUCUUCUCACUGUUCUAUCUGUAACAACUGUGUGGAGCGUUUUGAUCAUCACUGUCCUUGGGUUGGUCAAUGCAUAGGACUGUCUUUUUGUCUUUCAUCUCUACCUGAAGAGCACCAAUCAGGUCGCUUCCCUUCCCACCUUUCCUCUGUUUUAAAACUCUUGUUCUCCUCUGAUCCUCGUGGCGGCGGCACGGGUCAGCUGUUCGGGGACAAGGGGCGCCUCGUCCGGCUGGUCUCCCGGAGGCAGGGACGGCUAGAUCCGGUGGUGGCUGGGCUAGGAGGAGGUGCAGCGGAGCUGGUGGCGGGGUUUCGGUCGGGGUCGUCUUCGAUCUCGAUCGGGAUCUCCAUCGGGGGCGUCGCACAGCGAUGGCGUGACCGGAUCGUGCAAGUUGAUGCUCUUCAAACGAGGAUCUGUUUUAUGAAGCUGAACUCGAGGUCUCCCUUCAGUGCCUGCAGUUGCAUGUGGACAUCUGAAGAUGUUCUGAGUUCUGAAUUCUGGUGA
rnacentral:rRNA from 1 species